UACGUAGGGUGCAAGCGUUAAUCGGAAUUACUGGGCGUAAAGCGUGCGCAGGCGGUUUUGUAAGUCUGACGUGAAAUCCCCGGGCUCAACCUGGGAAUUGCGUUGGAGACUGCAAGGCUGGAGUCUGGCAGAGGGGGGUAGAAUUCCACGUGUAGCAGUGAAAUGCGUAGAGAUGUGGAGGAACACCGAUGGCGAAGGCAGCCCCCUGGGUCAAGACUGACGCUCAUGCACGAAAGGCGUGGGGAGCAAACAGGAUU
rnacentral:rRNA from 1 species